GGACGAACGCUGGCGGCGUGCUUAACACAUGCAAGUCGAACGGGAUCCAAGGGCUUUUUGUUUUUGGUGAGAGUGGCGAACGGGUGAGUAACACGUGAGUAACCUGCCCCCUUCUUUUGGAUAACCGCAUGAAAGUGUGGCUAAUACGAGAUAUUCCGCUUUGGUCGCAUGGCUUUGGUGGGAAAUGGUUUGGUCUGGUGGGGGAUGGGCUCGCGGCCUAUCAGCUUGUUGGUGGGGUGAUGGCCUACCAAGGCGGUGACGGGUAGCCGGCCUGAGAGGGUGGGCGGUCACACUGGGACUGAGAUACGGCCCAGACUCCUACGGGAGGCAGCAGUGGGGGAUUUUGCACAAUGGGCGCAAGCCUGAUGCAGCGACGCCGCGUGAGGGAUGGAGGCCUUCGGGUUGUGAACCUCUUUCGCUGGGUUGAAAGGCCAUGCUUUGGGUGUGGUUGAUUUGAACUGGUAAAGAAGUACCGGCUAACUAC
rnacentral:rRNA from 1 species